UCACUUUCAUAGUAUAUGAAUUAAAACCGAAAUGAUACACGGAAGAGUAGCAUGGCCCCUGUGCAAGGAUAACAUGCAAAUUUAUGAAGUGUUCCACAUUUUU